CAGCAGCCGCCGCGGGAAUACAGAGGGUGCGAGCGUUAAUCGGAUUUACUGGGCGUAAAGCGUGCGUAGGCGGCUAAUUGAGUCGGAUGUGAAAUCCCCGAGCUUAACUUGGGAAUUGCAUUCGAUACUGGUUAGCUAGAGUGUGGGAGAGGAUGGUAGAAUUCCAGGUGUAGCGGUGAAAUGCGUAGAGAUCUGGAGGAAUACCGAUGGCGAAGGCAGCCAUCUGGCCUAACACUGACGCUGAGGUACGAAAGCAUGGGGAGCAAACAGGAUUAGAUACCCGUGUAGUCCCUGUCUCUUAUAC
rnacentral:rRNA from 1 species